UUUGCUUUGGUUGUGCACACCUUCAGACCAAAAACAGAUCUAAUUGCCUAGGCCAUAGGAAGCUUAAGUUUUUGGCAUGUUAAAAUGGUCAUAGUCAUUAACUUUACUAUAAGCCACAUAUUCCAUGAAUCUCAAGUCAGUAAUGGAAUUUUAAUCAGAUAAGUAAGAUGCAAACAUAUCACUUACCCUGAAAAAUCCAAUGGUUAAUACUUAAGAGUGCUAAGUCGUAACUUCUAAGUUUUCUGUUUUCUCAAGGAAACCCUAGAAUUUACCUCUAUUCUUCACUCCUUGAAUGACUCUUUGGGGGCUUAUGGUUGCUUAAGUCAUCACCAGAUGCCUAAACAUUAUGUUAAAUCCCUGUGCAAUCAACCAAUAUAAUGUCCAGUUUUCCACCUAUCAACCUUCAUCCCUUAAAUUAAACUAGUUUUUGGGCGUGCCAAAUCACACAUAUAUUGCUAUAUAACGUAUAGAGAAAAAAAUGUAAUUCAAAUCUGUCGUUGCACUUAUCAUAAUUCAAUUAAUAACGUCUCACAUCUGUCCUGUGAUGUGGAUAGUCAAAUUAUGGGCAGUCAGGCUAAUCCCAUCUUCAAGAUUUCCGACCACAAAAAUCCGUAGAAUAGACCACUCUCUACUUUCUUCCUCUCGUAUUCCUCCUACGAAAGCAGAAACCCAAGGACCCCAUCUUUGUUUUUCUCCAAGGACAUGCAUUCCGACCAAAAGAUUAGAAGCAAGAAUGCAAUUUGACUAUAAACAAUUAUUCUCACAAGCUUGUUCCAAAAAAAAAAAAAAAAAGAAAAGAAAAAAAUCUCACAAUCCACGAGAUCAUUAGCAAGAAAGAAGCACAACAACAAAGAAAGAACCAAUAUAGCGAUCAAAAGGCAUCAAUAUACCCAAAAAAAAAAAAACGAGCCAAAAGAAUUCAAACCUACAGAUAUCAUCAAAUAGAUUACGAUAAAGACUAAAACAAUAAGAAACCAAAACAAGCACAUCGAGAACACAAUCCGCGUCCCUAUCUCCAAGAAACUGCGAUCAUCAACAGAUCUAAAACUACUUCGAAUCAAACCCAGCAAGGAUCCCGAGAUUAAGUACCAUCUCCGACUUCGACUUCGGAAAACUCGAUCUAAUGUAAAAUUCGCCCAGAAAAAACGAAAAGAAUCCCUGAAAGAGAUCGGACGAUCGAAUGAGAGGCUGAGGCGCGCGGAUCCUGACCUGGGGUCCAAGAUCGCACGGCGGAGAGAGAAAUCUAUCCGCGGUGAGGAGAUCGGCAGGAGAAAGGGGUCGCCUUCCCCUUUCAAAGCGAAGGGCGGAGAGCUAUAUAUGGAAGCUAGGUUAUAGGAGGGGAGAAUUUUCUUAUUAUGGAUUUUGGUCAGGGGUGAGAGGAUCCGGUGGAGAAACCUUUCGCCCGUUUUCCUCGAGGUAGGAGACCGAUGCCGACUGCGGUCUCUGGCUCCCCCUCCGUUCCGUUGGGCUUUUCUAUUCUGUCCACCAGCGUAAACCGGUCCACACGGCGGAGACGAGGCUUUCUAGUCCUUUGCCACGUGAAUGGAAGGCAG
rnacentral:lncRNA from 1 species